UUGUUUGGGAAUGCAGCUCUAAGUGGGUGGUAAAUUCCAUCUAAAGCUAAAUAUUGGCGAGAGACCGAUAGCGAACAAGUACAGUGAUGGAAAGAUGAAAAGAACUUUGAAAAGAGAGUGAAAAAGUACGUGAAAUUGUUGAAAGGGAAGGGCUUGAGAUCAGACUUGGUAUUUUGCGAUCCUUUCCUUCUUGGUUGGGUUCCUCGCAGCUUACUGGGCCAGCAUCGGUUUGGAUGGUAGGAUAAUGACUAAGGAAUGUGGCUCUACUUCGGUGGAGUGUUAUAG
rnacentral:rRNA from 1 species